rnacentral:rRNA from 1 species
UGGGGAAUUUUGCACAAUGGGGGAAACCCUGAUGCAGCGACGCCGCGUGAUUUAGAAGGCCUUCGGGUUGUAAAAAUCUUUUCUAUGGGAAGAAAAUGACAGUACCAUAGGAAUAAGGACCGGCUAAUUACGUGCCAGCAGCCGCGGUAAUACGUAAGGUCCGAGCGUUGUCCGGAAUCAUUGGGCGUAAAGGGUACGUAGGCGGGUAAGCAAGUUAGAAGUGAAAUCCUGUAGCUCAACUACAGUAAGCUUUUAAAACUGCUCAUCUUGAGAUAUGGAAGGGAAAGUGGAAUUCCUAGUGUAGAGGUGAAAUGCGCAGAUAUUAGGAGGAAUACCGGUGGCGAAGGCGACUUUCUGGCCAUAAUCUGACGCUGAGGUACGAAAGCGUGGGUAGCAAACAGG